CACGCUGUAAACGAUGUUCACUAGGUGUUGGGGGUAUUGACCCUCUCAGUGCCGUAGCUAACGCAUUAAGUGAACCGCCUGGGAAGUACGGUCGCAAGACUAAAACUCAAAGGAAUUGAC
rnacentral:rRNA from 1 species